rnacentral:rRNA from 1 species
AUUGAACGCUGGCGGCAGGCCUAACACAUGCAAGUCGAACGAGUGGCGGACGGGUGAGUAAUGUCUGGGAAACUGCCUGAUGGAGGGGGAUAACUACUGGAAACGGUAGCUAAUACCGCAUACCAUCAGAUGUGCCCAGAUGGGAUUAGCUAGUUGGUGGGGUAACGGCUCACCAAGGCGACGAUCCCUAGCUGGUCUGAGAGGAUGACCAGCCACACUGGAAGUGGGACACGGACCAGACGCCUACGGGAGGCAGCAGGGGGGAAUAGUGCACAAUGGGCGCAAGCCUGAUGCAGCCAUGCCGAGUGUAUGAAGACGGCCUUCGGGUUGUAAAGUACGUGCAGCGGGGAGGCGGUACCCGCAGAAGAAGCACCGGCUAACUCCGUGCCAGCAGCCGCGGUAAUAC